GACGAACGCUGGCGGCGUGCUUAACACAUGCAAGUCGAACGGAAAGGCCCUGCUUUUGUGGGGUGCUCGAGUGGCGAACGGGUGAGUAACACGUGAGUAACCUGCCCUUGACUUUGGGAUAACUUCAGGAAACUGGGGCUAAUACCGGAUAGGAGCUCCUGCUGCAUGGUGGGGGUUGGAAAGUUUCGGCGGUUGGGGAUGGACUCGCGGCUUAUCAGCUUGUUGGUGGGGUAGUGGCUUACCAAGGCUUUGACGGGUAGCCGGCCUGGGAGGGUGACCGGCCACAGUGGGACUGGGAUGCGGCCCAGACUCCUACGGGCGGCAGCAGUGGGGAAUAUUGCACAAUGGGCGGAAGCCUGGUGCAGCAACGCCGCGUGCGAGAUGACGGCCUUCGGGUUGUAAACCGCUUUCGCCUGUGACGAAGCGUGAGUGACGGUAAUGGGUAAAGAAGCACCGGCUAACUACGU
rnacentral:rRNA from 1 species